rnacentral:rRNA from 1 species
GGUUAAGCGACUAAGCGUACACGGUGGAUGCCCUGGCAGUCAGAGGCGAUGAAGGACGUGCUAAUCUGCGAAAAGCGUCGGUAAGGUGAUAUGAACCGUUACAGCCGGCGAUGUCCGAAUGGGGAAACCCAGUGCAAUUCGUUGCACUAUCGUUAACUGAAUACAUAGGUUAACGAGGCGAACCGGGGGAACUGAAACAUCUAAGUACCCCGAGGAAAAGAAAUCAACCGAGAUUCCCCCAGUAGCGGCGAGCGAACGGGGAGCAGCCCAGAGUCUGAAUCAGCUUGUGUGUUAGUGGAACGGUCUGGAAAGUCCGACGGUACAGGGUGAUAGUCCCGUACACCAAAAUGCACAGGCUGUGAACUCGAAGAGUAGGGCGGGACACGUGGUAUCCUGUCUGAAUAUGGGGGGACCAUCCUCCAAGGCUAAAUACUCCUGACUGACCGAUAGUGAACCAGUACCGUGAGGGAAAGGCGAAAAGAACCCCGGCGAGGGGAGUGAAAAAGAACCUGAAACCGUGUACGUACAAGCAGUGGGAGCACCUUCGGGUGUGACUGCGUACCUUUUGUAUAAUGGGUCAGCGACUUAUAUUCUGUAGCAAGGUUAACCGUAUAGGGGAGCCGCAGGGAAACCGAGUCUUAACUGGGCGUUAAGUUGCAGGGUAUAGACCCGAAACCCGGUGAUCUAGCCAUGGGCAGGUUGAAGGUUGGGUAACACUAACUGGAGGACCGAACCGACUAAUGUUGAAAAAUUAGCGGAUGACUUGUGGCUGGGGGUGAAAGGCCAAUCAAACCGGGAGAUAGCUGGUUCUCCCCGAAAGCUAUUUAGGUAGCGCCUCGUGAAUUCAUCUUCGGGGGUAGAGCACUGUUUCGGCUAGGGGGUCAUCCCGACUUACCAACCCGAUGCAAACUACGAAUACCGAAGAAUGUUAUCACGGGAGACACACGGCGGGUGCUAACGUCCGUCGUGAAGAGGGAAACAACCCAGACCGCCAGCUAAGGUCCCAAAGUCAUGGUUAAGUGGGAAACGAUGUGGGAAGGCACAGACAGCCAGGAUGUUGGCUUAGAAGCAGCCAUCAUUUAAAGAAAGCGUAAUAGCUCACUGGUCGAGUCGGCCUGCGCGGAAGAUGUAACGGGGCUAAACCAUGCACCGAAGCUGCGGCAGCGACACUAUGUGUUGUUGGGUAGGGGAGCGUUCUGUAAGCCUGCGAAGGUGUGCUGUGAGGCAUGCUGGAGGUAUCAGAAGUGCGAAUGCUGACAUAAGUAACGAUAAAGCGGGUGAAAAGCCCGCUCGCCGGAAGACCAAGGGUUCCUGUCCAACGUUAAUCGGGGCAGGGUGAGUCGACCCCUAAGGCGAGGCCGAAAGGCGUAGUCGAUGGGAAACAGGUUAAUAUUCCUGUACUUGGUGUUACUGCGAAGGGGGGACGGAGAAGGCUAUGUUAGCCGGGCGACGGUUGUCCCGGUUUAAGCAUGUAGGCUGAUUGUCCAGGCAAAUCCGGAUAAUCAAGGCUGAGGUGUGAUGACGAGGCACUACGGUGCUGAAGUAACAAAUGCCCUGCUUCCAGGAAAAGCCUCUAAGCAUCAGGUAACAUUAAAUCGUACCCCAAACCGACACAGGUGGUCAGGUAGAGAAUACCAAGGCGCUUGAGAGAACUCGGGUGAAGGAACUAGGCAAAAUGGUGCCGUAACUUCGGGAGAAGGCACGCUGGUGUGUAGGUGAAGCCCCUGCGGGUGGAGCUGAGACCAGUCGAAGAUACCAGCUGGCUGCAACUGUUUAUUAAAAACACAGCACUGUGCAAACACGAAAGUGGACGUAUACGGUGUGACGCCUGCCCGGUGCCGGAAGGUUAAUUGAUGGGGUUAUCCGUAAGGAGAAGCUCUUGAUCGAAGCCCCGGUAAACGGCGGCCGUAACUAUAACGGUCCUAAGGUAGCGAAAUUCCUUGUCGGGUAAGUUCCGACCUGCACGAAUGGCGUAAUGAUGGCCAGGCUGUCUCCACCCGAGACUCAGUGAAAUUGAACUCGCUGUGAAGAUGCAGUGUACCCGCGGCAAGACGGAAAGACCCCGUGAACCUUUACUAUAGCUUGACACUGAACAUUGAGCCUUGAUGUGUAGGAUAGGUGGGAGGCUUUGAAGCGUGGACGCCAGUCUGCGUGGAGCCAACCUUGAAAUACCACCCUUUAAUGUUUGAUGUUCUAACGUUGGCCCCUGACCGGGGUUGCGGACAGUGUCUGGUGGGUAGUUUGACUGGGGCGGUCUCCUCCCAAAGCGUAACGGAGGAGCACGAAGGUUAGCUAAUCCUGGUCGGACAUCAGGAGGUUAGUGCAAUGGCAUAAGCUAGCUUGACUGCGAGCGUGACGGCGCGAGCAGGUGCGAAAGCAGGUCAUAGUGAUCCGGUGGUUCUGAAUGGAAGGGCCAUCGCUCAACGGAUAAAAGGUACUCCGGGGAUAACAGGCUGAUACCGCCCAAGAGUUCAUAUCGACGGCGGUGUUUGGCACCUCGAUGUCGGCUCAUCACAUCCUGGGGCUGAAGUAGGUCCCAAGGGUAUGGCUGUUCGCCAUUUAAAGUGGUACGCGAGCUGGGUUUAGAACGUCGUGAGACAGUUCGGUCCCUAUCUGCCGUGGGCGCUGGAGAAUUGAGGGGGGCUGCUCCUAGUACGAGAGGACCGGAGUGGACGCAUCACUGGUGUUCGGGUUGUCAUGCCAAUGGCACUGCCCGGUAGCUAAAUGCGGAAGAGAUAAGUGCUGAAAGCAUCUAAGCACGAAACUUGCCCCGAGAUGAGUUCUCCCUGAGACUUUAAGUCUCCUGAAGGAACGUUAAAGACGAUGACGUUGAUAGGCCGGGUGUGUAAGCGCAGCGAUGCGUUGAGCUAACCGGUACUAAUGAACCGUGAGGCUUAACCUU